CCUUUCCUGUUUUGAAGUUUCAGAAACAAUCACACAACUGGUUCAACUUUUUCUGAAGUCUUUUCAUCUAUGUCAACUCUGAGCAGAAAAUGAAGCUGUGAAUCAUUCCUCCAAAUAUGGCCAACUAAGCUCUUUAACCUAAACUUUACUUGUGUUCUAGGUGUGGUAUACAAAACAUCUUAAAUUGCAACACCAAACUUCUGAGAAAUUUGUGAGAAUGUUUUGAUCGUGAUGAACCUUUCCCCUGCCAUGCCACCCCACUUUUGAGAGGCCAGGACACCCAGGCAUCAGACAUCGUCAUUGAUUUUGUGGAACAAUUAGGAUUUAUUUUGCAAGAGAAAGACUGCAUUUGAACGCUCCUAGAUUUUCCAGCUCCUAUGGUUGCCACAGCUUGAUUGAUGGAAGAAGUGUUAAGAAAAGGUGGGAGGCUCCAUGGAAUUUCCCAAAAUAAAUUAAGAAGAUGCAGAACUAAAGCUUUGGAGCUCUGGCUGGAGCACCUUCUUGUCUUCAUCAUAAAGGGGACUGAAAUAAGUUUGGUGGAAGGAAGGACCAGCUAUUGAAGUUGAUGUGGAGGAUACACGACGAUCUUUCUAGUGGCCUCAGAGGGAAACCUCAGCAGCUGGAAGAAAACAAAUCCUUGCUAUCCCUCUAAAUUCCGUCCUGUGGGAGAGGGAAGGGUUACUUUUUCUCAGUUUUCACAGUCAAAAUAAAAUCUGCAUCUCACUUUGAA